AGGGUGGAACAUUUCUAGAGACUGAGCUGAAAGGAUAGUGUUAUCUAAGUGAUCUACAAUCGAGUUAUUAUAAUCGUAAAGCUGAAGUAAAAAGUAAAAAAAAAAAUCCUAAAAUGAAAUAUUUUUAUAUCAGUGACAACCCUACAAAGUUAUUUACAUUUUAAAUUGACACAUGUCAUGUCAUACAAUAGGAUCUACUUGCUAGGGUUGAAACAUAAAGAUUUUUGCUCUCAUGUUUAACAAACUGUAACUCUAAAACGGUUAGAAAUAUUAACGUGAUUAAUAAGUGAAAAAUAAAGUACGUAGCCUAAACAAUUCCCCGUUUGCGUAAAAGUCCUUCGUUCUGUUCCACCCGAUAUAUAUUUUUUUAUAUAUUUUUUUUAUAUAAUAUACUUACUAUAAUACUUAUAUUAUAUUUAAUGAGUAUAACACCAAUCAAUUUAACUUUUUUUUUUCGUUAGGCCGUAGAUAAUGACGUAGCACAACAAGGAGGCGCACAAGGGAUAGUGUCAAAAUUAUCAGGACGAUUAAACGUAAGACACUUUAUAUAGUUUUUCAAUGUAAGUCGCAAAUACACUCAUGGACAAGAAGAUUCAUUAGAAGAGUGCUGUGAUGCAGUACAGUCAAACCUGGAUAAGAAAGUUGUAAACAACGUGGUGCACGAUACAGUACCAUCGGGUCCCCAGACAGUCGUCAAUGGACCGCAGUUCAAUAAUG